rnacentral:rRNA from 1 species
AUUGAACGCUGGCGGCAGGCCUAACACAUGCAAGUCGAACGAGUGGCGGACGGGUGAGUAAUGUCUGGGAAACUGCCUGAUGGAGGGGGAUAACUACUGGAAACGGUAGCUAAUACCGCAUACCAUCGGAUGUGCCCAGAUGGGAUUAGCUUGUUGGUGGGGUAACGGCUCACCAAGGCGACGAUCCCUAGCUGGUCUGAGAGGAUGACCAGCAACACUGAGUCUGAGACACUGUCCAGACUCUUACGUGAGGCAGCAGUGGUGAAGAUUGCACAAUGGGCGCAAGUCUGAUGCAGCCAUGCAGCGUGUAUGAAGAAGGCCUUCGGGUUGUAAAGUACUUUCAGCGGGGAGGCGUUACCCGCAUAAGAAGCACCGGCUAACUCCGUGCCAGCCGCCGCGUUAAUUC